CUAUAGUUUUGACCUAUUUGAGAAUAGACCGCACUUCUCUCAAUCUUGUUCCAGUUUUAGCCAUCAAAGUUACGUGCAAUUCAUUUAUGAUGUGAUAUGCAUGUGAACUUGAUAAUUUCACCACUUUUUAUCAGCAUAAUUUUUUUUAAUGUCGUUUAUUUUCUGAUUUCUUAGGUAUAUAUGAUUCAACAAACUACCUUCUCAUUCAGUUCUUAUAAUUUGUUACAUUUUGUGAUUUUUGCACACACUAAUUUGGUUUUAGCUUUUUAGAAUUCCUUUCUUUAUGCAACACUUCAUUUUCCUUUUUCUGUGAUUCUUUCUCUUCACUAAUCAAAUUUUCUUUACUCUAAACGAUUUUAUCAAAUACCUCCUAUUGCUUUUACCAUUCCCAAACUCUUGCUGUUUGGGUUUUUAAUCUAUGAUAGUCUGAAGUUCUUCCAGAACGGAUAUUACGUAUUUUCUCAUAUUUUACACCAGUUCCUUAUGAUGUCUUAUAGCUAAUAGUCUUAACCUUAGGAGUCGUCCACCAAGCUAAUUCAGAGAUAAAGCCAACGAUGGUUGCUCGAUAUUCUUCCUGGGUUCAGUGGAUCUAGAAAAAUAUUAGCAGCAGAGAGUAGGAUAGCCUUUCUGUUUAUUUUUCUUCCUCUCUUGCUACUAUGUAUAAGAUAUUUACUUAUAACAUGAAAAGUAGCCCUAUGACAUGCAUAAAGGUAAACACAUUAUGGGUGUUUCGUUUAUUGUUAUUUGCAAAUAGCUUACUAGAAAGUGAGAACGAGAAAUAUUAUCAAAUGGCAAAAUUAAC
rnacentral:lncRNA from 1 species